CUCAUCUUCCGAUCGACGCGCCUCCAACUCCGCCUCCACCUCCUCUUCGGUCUUCACCUAGAGCGUUCCACAGUGGCAGGUCCGAUCUGCCUCCCAACGACGUGAUGGCCUGGCUCAAACCCUGACGACCUAGAGCGUGGGGUGCAGCGAUGUCGCCCAUGAGAACCCGUCUUCUCCUUCCACCGCUGUCCGCCACUUCUCCACUUCUUCCUCCUGCAGAUCCCCUGCUCCAGAGCUCGCCCAGCGGCCCAGGCCGACGCGUCCGUUUUCUAUCUAGCGGUUCGACCAUGAGGACCAUAGAUGUUGUCUAUUGAGGGCAAGCGACGGUCGGUCGGGCUGGGCAGAGGCGGCGAUCCGGGUAGACCAUCCCCGUCAAAGUCUGGUCUGUAAGACGCGGCCAUCAUCGAUCGAGGGCCAGCGACGGCUGGACCUAGGGCAGCAGCGGCGAUCCGGAUAGAUUCUUCUCUUCUGCGUUAUCAUUGGUUUGCAAGGCGCGUGGCAACAUUACCAACUUGAGGGAGAUGGGAAAAGACGAUUCAGAUGCUGCCUGUGCACGCCUGAACCAUGUCCAACCAUAUACCAGGGAGCAGAGAAGAGCAACAUGGGGUGGUCUGCGUCACCUCCAGUUGGGACAUGUACCUGUAUGAAUAAUUAUGAGCAGCUUAAGCCCUGUGUUGAUCCUUCAUCAUCCUUUCCAUAGAUGAAAUUGACCUGAUAGCUCAUCUCUUGCCUUUCUCUAAAAUUAGAUUAAUUACAUGCCAUUUGUGUGCUCAAGGAACUGUUGGAGAAUAGUUUUCUAGCUAUAAUCAUUUAGUAGAACAUGGCAUUGCAUGAUAUGCAUGAGACCAACGUAUCCGAAGAUGCUUCUAGGGGCACUUGAGCUUGCCCGUGGGGGUUGGUCAGCAAAUGAAUUUGUGGAUCAAUGGUGCCAGCAAAGUAAUCUGAUAAUUUGUGGAUCUAUACUACCUGCAAAUUCUAUUAGUUCAGAUAAUUUGUGGAUCAGUACAGCCAGCAAAUGAAUUUAUUGGUAUUUUAUUUUGCUUACCAAUAAUUUUGCUUUCUGUUGUUUAACGAAAAGGAUGACCCUCUUUGUAAAUCUUUUACUUUGCUUUCCGGUGAAGCUGUAGUUCUCUGCAAAUUGUAACCAAUUUUGGGAUCACACUAAGCAGGCAUCACUUGUCGAUUUCAGUAGUCUGUA